GCCUGGGUGGCUCAGUCAGUUGAGCAUCCGACUUCGGCUCAGGUCAUGAUCUCACGGUUCGUGGGUUCGAGCCCCGCGUCGGGCU
rfam:Felis catus breed Abyssinian Contig144458.1, whole genome shotgun sequence. [26-MAY-2016]